CCCGAAGCAGAGGAGAGGGCCUCCCGGUGAAGAUGGACAGCCUGGAACGACUAACCCUCCCCACUGGACGGUCCCUGCAGCAUAGAUGGCCUGGACCAGCUCACCCUUCCUUCCCACCGAGGGGAGGUUCGACCAUAUCCCUCACCGUAUCCAUCAAACUGAUUGGUUAAGGGAUCACCAAUGAAAAUGGGUCCCUAAAAUACAUGUAUGCAAAUCAGAGGUGUACAUGCAUAGUCUAGUAUGCCCGGGCAUAUUUUUGUCCAAGUCCGGUCCUGGCUGCCUGUGACUGUGCGUAGGAGAAAAACCUACAAAUAAGAUGGAGGCUGAAUGGAGGAUUCUUUUUUAAAAGU